GACGAACGCUGGCGGCGUGCUUAACACAUGCAAGUCGAACGAUGAAGCUGGAGCUUGCUCCGGUGGAUUAGUGGCGAACGGGUGAGUAACACGUGAGCAAUUUGCCCUUGACUCUGGGAUAACUGCGGGAAACUGUAGCUAAUACCGGAUACGAGGCUCGAAGGCAUCUUCGGGUCUGGAAAGAAUUUCGGUCAAGGAUGAGCUCGCGGCCUAUCAGCUUGUUGGUGAGGUAAUGGCUCACCAAGGCGACGACGGGUAGCCGGCCCGAGAGGGUGACCGGCCACACUGGGACUGAGACACGGCCCAGACUCCUACGGGAGGCAGCAGUGGGGAAUAUUGCACAAUGGGCGAAAGCCUGAUGCAGCAACGCCGCGUGAGGGAUGAAGGCCUUCGGGUUGUAAACCUCUUUUAGCAGAGAAGAAGCGAAAGUGACGGUACCUGCAGAAAAAGCACCGGCUAACUACGUGCCAGCCGCCGCAGUAA
rnacentral:rRNA from 1 species